GAUGAGAACGCAGCGAAAUGCGAUACGUAAUGUGAAUUGCAGAAUUCAGUGAAUCAUCGAGUCUUUGAACGCACAUUGCGCCCCCUGGUAUUCCGGGGGGCAUGCCUGUCCGAGCGUCAUUGCUGCCCUCAAGCCCGGCUUGUGUGUUGGGUCUCGUCCCCCUUCCCGGGGGGACGGGCCCGAAAGGCAGCGGCGGCACCGCGUCCGGUCCUCGAGCGUAUGGGGCUUUGUCACCCGCUCUGUAGGCCCGGCCGGCGCUUGCCGAUCAACCAAAACUUUUUUCCAGGUUGACCUCGGAUCAGGUAGGGAUACCCGCUGAACUUAAGCAUAUCAAUAAGCGGAGGA
rnacentral:misc_RNA from 1 species